GAUGAACGCUAGCGGCAGGCUUAACACAUGCAAGUCGAGGGGCAGCGGGUUGUAGCAAUACAAUGCCGGCGACCGGCGAAAGGGUGAGUAACGCGUGAGCAACAUGCCCGGUAGAGGGGGAUAGUCAUUGGAAACGAUGUGUAAUACCCCGUAACAACAGUCAUCGCAUGGUGAAUGUUUGAAAGAUUUAUUGCUACCGGAUUGGCUCGCGUCCCAUUAGCUAGUUGGCGGGGUAACGGCCCACCAAGGCGACGAUGGGUAGGGGUUCUGAGAGGAAGGUCCCCCACAUUGGAACUGAGACACGGUCCAGACUCC
rnacentral:rRNA from 1 species